GACGAACGCUGGCGGCGUGCUUAACACAUGCAAGUCGAACGAAGUGGCGAACGGGUGAGUAACGCGUAAUCAACCUGCCCUUCAGAGGGGGACAACAGUUGGAAACGACUGCAAAAACCGAAUACUGAGGGGGGGGAUGGCGUGUGAUUAGCUAGUUGGAGGGGUAACGGCCCACAAAGGCGAUGAUCAGUAGCCGGUCUGAGAGGAUGAACGGCCACAUUGGGACUGAGACACGGCCCAGACUCCUACGGGAGGCAGCAGUGGGGAAUCUUCCGCAAUGGACGAAAGUCUGACGGAGCAACGCCGCGUGAGUGAUGACGGCCUUCGGGUUGUAAAGCUCUGUUAAUCGGGACGCGGUACCGGAAUAGAAAGCCACGGCUAACUACGUGCCAGCAGCCGCGGUAAUUC
rnacentral:rRNA from 1 species